GGCCAAGUUUUUAAGGGCGCACGGUGGAUGCCUUGGCACCAGGAACCGAUGAAGGACGUGGGAGGCCACGAUAGGCCCCGGGGAGCUGUCAACCGAGCUUUGAUCCGGGGGUGUCCGAAUGGGGAAACCCGGCAGUCGUCAUGGGCUGUCACCCGCUGCUGAACACAUAGGCAGUGUGGAGGGAACGCGGGGAAGUGAAACAUCUCAGUACCCGCAGGAAGAGAAAACAACCGUGAUUCCGGGAGUAGUGGCGAGCGAAACUGGAUGAGGCCAAACCAGUCACGUGUGAUACCCGGCAGGGGUUGCGUGGUUGGGGUUGUGGGAUCUCUCUUUUGCAGUCUGCCGGCUGUGAGGCGAGUCAGAAACCGUUGAUGUAGGCGAAGGACAUGCGAAAGGUCCGGCGUAGAGGGUAAGACCCCCGUAGCUGAAACAUUAGCGGCUCGUUUGAGAGACACCCAAGUAGCACGGGGCCCGAGAAAUCCCGUGUGAAUCUGGCGGGACCACCCGUUAAGCCUAAAUAUUCCCUGGUGACCGAUAGCGGAUAGUACCGUGAGGGAAUGGUGAAAAGUACCGCGGGAGCGGAGUGAAAUAGUACCUGAAACCGUGUGCCUACAAGCCGUGGGAGCGUCGCUGGUGAGUUUACUCAUCAGUCGUGACUGCGUGCCUUUUGAAGAAUGAGCCUGCGAGUUUGCGGUAUGUUGCGAGGUUAACCCGUGUGGGGAAGCCGUAGCGAAAGCGAGUCCGAAUAGGGCGUGGAGUAGCAUGCUCAAGACCCGAAGCGGAGUGAUCUAGCCAUGGGCAGGUUGAAGCGGAGGUAAGACUUCGUGGAGGACCGAACCCACCAGGGUUGAAAACCUGGGGGAUGACCUGUGGUUAGGGGUGAAAGGCCAAUCAAACUCCGUGAUAGCUGGUUCUCCCCGAAAUGCAUUUAGGUGCAGCGUCGUGUGUUUCUUGCCGGAGGUAGAGCACUGGAUAGGCGAUGGGCCCUACCGGGUUACUGACCUUAGCCAAACUCCGAAUGCCGGUAAGUGAGAGCGCGGCAGUGAGACUGUGGGGGAUAAGCUCCAUGGUCGAGAGGGAAACAGCCCAGAGCAUCGACUAAGGCCCCUAAGCGUGUGCUAAGUGGGAAAGGAUGUGGAGUCGCAGAGACAACCAGGAGGUUGGCUUAGAAGCAGCCACCCUUGAAAGAGUGCGUAAUAGCUCACUGGUCAAGUGAUUCCGCGCCGACAAUGUAGCGGGGCUCAAGUACACCGCCGAAGUCGUGUCAUUGCGAUAUUACUCCUAACGGGGAUCGUGAUGGGUAGGGGAGCGUCGUGUGCCGGGUGAAGCAGCCGUGGAAACGAGUUGUGGACGGUUCACGAGUGAGAAUGCAGGCAUGAGUAGCGAUACAAGAGUGGGAAACUCUUGCGCCGAUUGACUAAGGGUUCCUGGGUCAAGCUGAUCUGCCCAGGGUAAGUCGGGACCUAAGGCGAGGCCGACAGGCGUAGUCGAUGGACAACCGGUUGAUAUUCCGGUACCCGCUUUGAAGCGCCCAAUACUGAAUCAGGCGAUGCUAAGUCCGUGAAGCCGCCCUGAUCUCUUCGGAGUUGAGGGGAGUGGUGGAGCCGACGGACCAGACUUGUAGUAGGUAAGCGAUGGGGUGACGCAGGAAGGUAGUCCAGCCCGGGCGGUGGUUGUCCCGGGGUAAGGGUGUAGGCCGUGUGGUAGGUAAAUCCGUCGCACGUUAAGGCUGAGACCUGAUGCCGAGCCGAUUGUGGUGAAGUGGAUGAUCCUAUGCUGUCGAGAAAAGCCUCUAGUGAGUUUCAAGGCGGCCCGUACCCUAAACCGACUCAGGUGGUCAGGUAGAGAAUACCGAGGCGUUCGGGUGAACUAUGGUUAAGGAACUCGGCAAAAUGCCCCCGUAACUUCGGGAGAAGGGGGGCCAUUUCUGGUGAGGGAACUUGCUUCCUGAGCUGGGGGUGGCCGCAGAGACCAGCGAGAAGCGACUGUUUACUAAAAACACAGGUCCGUGCGAAGCCGUAAGGCGAUGUAUACGGACUGACGCCUGCCCGGUGCUGGAACGUUAAGGGGACCGGUUAGCUUGGAUUCGUUCAGGCGAAGCUGAGAACUUAAGCGCCAGUAAACGGCGGUGGUAACUAUAACCAUCCUAAGGUAGCGAAAUUCCUUGUCGGGUAAGUUCCGACCUGCACGAAUGGCGUAACGACUUCUCGACUGUCUCAACCAUAGGCCCGGUGAAAUUGCAUUACGAGUAAAGAUGCUCGUUUCGCGCAGCAGGACGGAAAGACCCCGGGACCUUUACUAUAGCUUGAUAUUGGUGUUCGGUUCGGCUUGUGUAGGAUAGGUGGGAGACUGUGAAGCGCCAACGCCAGUUGGUGUGGAGUCGUUGUUGAAAUACCACUCUGGUCGUGCUGGAUGUCUAACCUGGGUCCGUGAUCCGGAUCAGGGACAGUGUCUGGUGGGUAGUUUAACUGGGGCGGUUGCCUCCUAAAGAGUAACGGAGGCGCCCAAAGGUUCCCUCAGCCUGGUUGGUAAUCAGGUGUUGAGUGUAAGUGCACAAGGGAGCUUGACUGUGAGACUGACGGGUCGAGCAGGUACGAAAGUAGGGACUAGUGAUCCGGCGGUGGCUUGUGGAAGCGCCGUCGCUCAACGGAUAAAAGGUACCCCGGGGAUAACAGGCUGAUCUUCCCCAAGAGUCCAUAUCGACGGGAUGGUUUGGCACCUCGAUGUCGGCUCGUCGCAUCCUGGGGCUGGAGUCGGUCCCAAGGGUUGGGCUGUUCGCCCAUUAAAGCGGUACGCGAGCUGGGUUUAGAACGUCGUGAGACAGUUCGGUCCCUAUCCGCUGUGCGCGUAGGAGUCUUGAGAAGGGCUGUCCCUAGUACGAGAGGACCGGGACGGACGAACCUCUGGUGUGCCAGUUGUUCUGCCAAGGGCAUGGCUGGUUGGCUACGUUCGGAAAGGAUAACCGCUGAAAGCAUCUAAGCGGGAAGCCUGCUUCGAGAUGAGGGCUCCCUCCUCCUUGAGAGGGUAAGGCUCCCAGUAGACGACUGGGUUGAUAGGCCAGAUAUGGAAGCACUGUAAGGUGUGGAGUUGACUGGUACUAAUAGGCCGAGGGCUUGUCCUC
rnacentral:rRNA from 1 species